ACGGGAGGCAGCAGUGGGGGAUAUUGCACAAUGGAGGAAACUCUGAUGCAGCAACGCCGCGUGAGGGAAGAAGGAUUUCGGUUUGUAAACCUCUGUCAUUGGUGACGAUAAUGACGGUAGCCGAUGAGGAAGCUCCGGCUAACUACGUGCCAGCAGCCGCGGUAAUACGUAGGGAGCGAGCGUUGUCCGGAAUUACUGGGUGUAAAGGGUGCGUAGGCGGGGGACCAAGUCAGGUGUGAAAACUAUCGGCUUAACCGGUAGCCUGCACUUGAAACUGGCCGUCUUGAGUGAAGUAGAGGCAGACGGAAGUCCCGGUGUAGCGGUGAAAUGCGUAGAGAUCGGGAGGAACACCAGUGGCGAAGGCGGCCUGCUGGGCUUUAACUGACGCUGAGGCACGAAAGCAUGGGUAGCAAACAGGAUUAGAUACCCUGGUA
rnacentral:rRNA from 1 species